AAUUCACCAUACGCUUUCGGCCAAUCCAAAGAGAGAUAGUGAGUUCAAUGUAUAAUAAUGGAAAUAAUCCAAUAUAUACUCAAAAGGUCUGUGGUCUGCUAUCUGCAUUUUACCCCUCAGUCUGCAUUUUACCCCCGGUCUGCAGUCUACAGUCCGCAGUCUGUGUUCUACACUGACCAGCAAGAAUAGCCUCCGGCAGCCAGGGUAUUACAAAGGGGAGACCACUUCAAACCAUGAGAUAAUAGUCACUGGGGUAGGCUCAAUAAUACUUUAUUACCAAUUUGUAAAAGUCAUUUCGCUGAAUUGAGACCAUGAAAUCAUUUGAUAAGAACAGCAAUGUGGCCGAUCAAAUGACCAGUUAGCGAAAGCCUAGAUUUCUUGGUCUUCCUAUAGCCCCUUACCAUCAAAUUCUCGUAACCAUCCCAAAUAACGAAUAAGAAAACCUGUAAGGAGAACUGGUAUUUUCAUCCUUAGGAUCGAGUGCUCUGUGAGACAUAAAAGACGUUUUAGUGAUAACAAAACAAGCUUUGUUCAGUUUUGUGUCUGCAGUCGUAUUAACCCAAUCAUUUAACUUUCAUCCUCAGGGUUUUCCCAUUAAAGCGCCACGUGAGGACAAUGGUCAAAGCAAACGAAGAAAUGAAGAAAAGGUCACCAGUUUGAGCGAGGCGGACAAUUUCUGUAGCAUGUUUUUGUAGAUUUUGUUUGUAUAAUAGAGUGUAAAUUGCACCAAUAUUAAAAAGACAUUGCUUUCCUUCAUGUUGUGAAAUUAAGCUUAUAAUCGUAAAUCGUAUUGAGUUUGUUGUCCUAAACGCGUCAAGAGUAUUUGUGUAGUUUGUGGAUCACGUCUUGCAGAUUUGCUUAGCUUGCUAUCAAUAUCUUUAACAGAUAAUUCUUUGCCCUGAUAAUGUAGAACAAGAACGUUUGAAAUACAUACCCUUUUAGCUCACUUGGUGCAGUUAAUCUCUCUACAUCGCUCUGUUGCGCGAUCGACGCUAAUGCAAAGUUAACGCGCUACCCUUGUCCGGGCGACCAGGUGCGCCCUGGGGCGACUUGUCCCCAGACCCCCAGACAAUCGCAACAAAAUUGUGCGCUCAACUGACGUGACUGUAAAAUAUUAGCCAUGAACGCCCAUACUUUUUUGGUCGCUUCGGCCACUUGUAAGUGAUUGUACAGGGUGGGCCGAGUAUUUUACUCGUGUUUUCAUCAUCAGGAAUUUCCGCAGGGCAUCAACCCUGCAUAGUCUCCCGUUUGUCGUCACGCAACGCUUCACCCCCUGUGGAAAGUUAGUAGCGUUUAUAGUAGAAGCGUUGUGUGACCAACUAUGUAACAGCUGCGAAGGAGUCUAGGUAAGGGUGCGUUCCUUUGGGGUAAUCUGGAUCAGGAUCAGUGAUCCUAGAUCGCUCGGAUCAUGGUGCAUCAAAGGAGCCGAUGAAUUCGUGACCAGAAUGGAUUCAUCGGUUCCUUUGAUUGGCCAUAUAUGAUCUGAGUAAUCUUGGAUCACCGAUCUUGACCCAGAUUACUCUAGAGGGUCCAACCCAAAAGUCUGCAUCUCCGAAACGUAGAUCGCGAUUUGCAAAAUUUGUUUUACGAGGGAAGUUGCAAUUGCUUGUAAAGGGCAAUUUGUGAUAAGACAUUGUUGGUCUUCCCAUAGGUCAGGAGAUUCUCGGAUUAACUAUGUUUGCCAGGCGUGCAUUUCGAAAGACAUUAUUCGCAAGUAGAUGCUAGUAGAAAACUUGGGUCUACUUGCGACUCCGUUUGGCCAGACCUUACGCACACUUACACUGACUUGCGAUCACGAGACCUCGAGAUCGAAUUUGCACGUAAUUCGACGCAAGUAUACAGUAAAUGAACCAACAUUAACUCUAUCAACAGAACGAGUGACAACACAUGGAGUAAAGAAAAAUGGUCUGAUAAGGCGAAAAAGUCAAAGAAAAGGCAUUAUAACAGUGUAGUUACCCCAAUAAAUGUCAAUUUCGUGGUUUAAGUCUACUUGUUUUGUUUUGCGCGCGAACAGCAACAGAUACGAUGUGUCAGCGAAAAGUCAAGAAAAUGCGCUUUAUUUUUUCUAACAUGACGCAACUGCGGACAUAAAUGCUCAUCUCCAUAUCCAGUGAUUGAAAUAACACUUCUUUCAAUUUUCGGUGCCUCCUCAUUUCUCGGAAACCAAGUGUAUUCACAGUUGGAGAGAGAUCAACAUAAUCAAAGCUGCACGUCUGACACGCAGCCCAAGGGCAAAUAUUUUGACCUGGAUAUGCUCAAGCGAACGAAGAUAGCAAUCACCUACACAAUUUCUGGCGUUACUAAGCUUCUUAGAUUUCUUUGUACGGGUAUAGAAGUGACGCGAAUAAAAAUAGCCGUGGUUCUUACAACAGGAAAAGGCGCGCAUUUAAGAAAACGCACUACAACCGCGAGGCUGUUGCGGUUAUUAGUCGACGUGGGCAGCCACCCAAUAUCAACAAAAAUCUGCUUAUGAAAGUAAUUUCUGGCCGUUUUCGUCUACACAAACAAGUAGCUCUGACGCAAUUGGCGCCGACAAAGUUCAUACGUGGGCGCGCUUCGAAUCCAGGUCAUAUGCACCUUAGAAAUUCACACUCUGUAAGAAAGAUAGGCAUAAAUAAAGGCGCACUUCCAACAAGCCACGCAAGGGCAAAUAUUUCACUUCUGAUACGCUAAGGUAAAUAACUGUUUCGAUCAGCUAUACGUUUUCGUAUCUUGGGUUUCCCUGUGUUCGUCAGGAAGCGAUGCUAGUUAAAAAAUGAAAACAACCAACAGGGACAGGCGCGCGCGAGAAGGGACGCGUGGACCCUUUUAUGAUGGAACGGAUUUUAUUCGUCUAGGUCUACUCACAAAACAACCACAUACGAGUAGUGCACUCUCAAAACAGCUUUCAAGCCACAACAUUCCUGCUCUACUGCAAAAGUCUAAUUCAUUUGUAUUCACUUUGUACGCUCAAGGUCAAAAAUUGCAUACCAUCACUUGUAAGGCUUAGAAAAAGGACCAAUUGCUGUCAAAAUGGAAUUACCCUACACUUUCUAAUCAGGAUAUAAUGCGCCGUCGACAAGUCGUAAAUGAGUAUAGACUUCGGACACAUUAGUCUGUUCAAAAUCGGUUCUCUCCUUUCUUCCUGCUCCGCCCACUGGACUUGAAUUAUUCCAUUCAAGAGUACAGGGAAAGAUCAGAGAUUUGAUAAUCCACACACAAGAAAAUAGAGCUUGCUGCAAAGACAAAAAGGAGUUUUAAACGAGAAGCAACUCACAAGAAAUCAAAUUCAAACCAGGAAGAAACGAAUGUGGAGCUAAAAUAUUCGUUCGCGUCGAAGAGACUGAAAUUAACUGCGAGGAAAUACAUAAACAAACGCACAGCCAGCAGUCGCACGAGAAUGAAACGUGCGCGCGAGAGGGCGCGUGAAUCUAUUAAAAGCACACCCACGACUAACACACGCACGCCAGUGAGAAAAACAACGCAACCUUUCCGUAGCACUGUAGCGAGAAAGAAAUAAAGGUCAUGUUUUGUGCCUAGAAAAUUGUGCAUACGUAAUAUUUCAAAUAUAAUUAUUGGCUUACGUUUAUAAUCUCGAUGGUUUUAGAACUUGAUGACUUCACGUGAAAAUGAUCUUAGGACGAUCCGUUCAAAAUCGGUUCUCUCCCAUCCUCCUGCUCCGCCCACUGAGCUAAAAGAUACAUUCCAUGACGUCGGUGUCCCAAAGACCUAAUUUGAAUAAAUGUUUGUUUAUCGAAGCAGAUUUCCAGAAUAAAAUUGGUCACGCGAAAACAACCAUUCGCUAUAAAAGACGGAAACAUCUAUCUAAACGAUCUGACGAAAAAUGGCACUUUUUGGUCCACACGAUCCUACAAACGACUUUUUUGAAGAGGUGCGUCUUGGAAGGCGAUUUCCUCUGUGCUGUUCCAAUGUCAUGUUACGGUAUGACUCAAGCACUGGAGAUUUCACGGCCCUGAAUGGACGAAUUAUCCGAAAAACGCCACAACGAACACAAAAGAACACAGCAACUGCACUAACGGUCAAGGCUAAGGGAGGAUGCGAAUUCCACAUCAGGCGAAAUCCAGGAGGAGGAUACCGAGUCGACAAUUGUUGCACUUGGAUAAAAGUUGAGACAAUGUACAAGAUUUCAAAGUACUAAGAAUGUUAUGGAAAGCUUGGAUGUCUGCAGACUGCUCAGGCACCAUUCUAUAGUGUUAAGUCAAUAAAGUACACAUAUAUGUGCUAAAAAAUACACAUGUAGGUGUAAUUUUUUAAGAAGAUUUACAGUCUGAAAAUGCAUCCUUCGCAUGACCAAGUUUUACUCGCUAACAGACUGAAAAUAUACAGUCUACUUGUGCGUUAAAUGGCCCGUGUAAAUAUUUUGGGCAAGUUUCGCGCGAGCAUAUAGAAGCGCGCGGGUCAAAAUGCGGUAUAAAAUUUGACAGGCGAGCCAUCAGCUUUUAUGCGCACAACUUUCGGCACCUCUGCAUUAGCAAAUUAUUUGCUUUGCGCGAACUACAACACAUAUUCCGGCAACAGCGAAGGGCAACAAAUCAGCAAGGACUCGAGAAAAUGCGCUAUUUUUCAAAACAUGAGGAAGUUGCGGACAUAAAUGCUCAGCUCCAUGUGCAGUGAUCAAAUUAACACUGCUUUGAAUCUUCAAUCCCUCCUUCUUGCUUUGUGCGGAAACUAAUUGUAAUCGCAGUUAGAGAGAGAUCACAUAAUUAAAGCCGCGCGUCUGCCAAGCAGCCCGAGGGCAAAUAUUUUGAUAUACUCGCAUAACUAGAUGAACAUGACAAUCAGCUCCACUAUUUCUGCGUUACUAAGAUUCUUAGAUUUCUUUGUACGCGCUUUAAAGUGACGCGAAUAAAAAAUAGCUGUGUACAUGUAAAAGGAAAAGGCGCGAGACGAAAAAGACGCCCUAAACGCGCGAAAUUUUUGCGGUUAUCAACAAAGAUCUACUCACAAAGGUUUUUUCUGGCCGCUUUUGUCUGCGCAAACACGUCAUUGGCGUCGAUAAACCUAAUAGGUGGGCGCACUUCUAAUCCAUGUCAUAUGUAACUUAGAAAAACCUCUUAUCCAUACCGCUCAAGAAGUUUCAUAUUUCGCAGACUUGCCGCCACAUUCGUCUUCAAAAGCUGAACAUUAACGAGCCGAAGAACAAUUUUGUUGAAAUGAUCAGAAUUUGGGAGCACCAUUACAGUGUCAAUCCUGUGGCAAUCAUAAUUUAUGCCUGAAGUGGAGCAAUUGAAGUCCAGUUAGGACGAAAGAUUUCGGGAAAUAGGGAUCGCUUCAAGCUCGUAACAUCAGACGCAGAAAUCGUUGAAAUUCAGCGAAAGCGUGAAACAGGUAAAGACUUCUUAGUUGAUUCACCAAAUGAUCAAUUUUAACAUUAAGUUAGCAAGGCUAUGCUACAAGAAACAUGUUUUCUUUUAAGGUUACGAGAUUAUCAAAGGAGGACACGUUCUCACAAAGAAAAGAAUAUAUUAUGAGUGAGCUUCGACAGCACGUUGACGAGAUUGACCGCGAAAGGAAGACGCCUUAGCAAAAGGAUUCAAUGAUGAUGUGACUGAUCGAUAAAUAAAAUCAGUGAAAUAUCAACUUUGUGUAAUUGUUUUGUGUGAAAUGGCUCGUCAUUUGUGCGCGCAAAGUAUAGCGUAUUUCACAGCCUUUGGGACAUAACAAAACUUAAGAUGAAAACACGAAUCUCGCGCGUAGAAAGAUGUCAUGCAAUGUGCCAAGCGUCUAGAAACAUCGAUUGAAACCCACGAGGUGCUAAUGAUCCGAAUCUAUUUUCCCUCUACCUCUAACCCUCCCAUUUAUAAUUGCACUAACCAUAUUCAAUAUGCGACAAGCAAAGCCAAAGGGCAAAUACUUCAACUUUCUCAGGAAAAAAAUAUACAGGACUGCUAAGUUCGACAAAUAUUAGAAACAGGUUUAGAGCCAUGCAACCGACGAUGACGCAAAGCUUCGAUUCUAUUUGACAGGUUCAAAAGAAAGAAAUCACUAACGAGCGUUUGCACGCUACCGCGCGCAUAUGGGAGACGCGUUUUCACGCGCGCGCGUGUGAGAGAACGUGCUGGUUGACAGAGACUACUAAAAUUAGAUUAUUCUGGUGCUGCCGUCAUUAAGGUAUUAGCAUAAUUUGCGCGCAUGGUCGGUUUAUCACUCGCCGAUUCAAGCACGUUGUUCUGAGCAAGAGUGAGGGCAGUUUCCACUUAAAGAUUACAAUUUCAGUUUCGAAUCAAACCCAAUAUGGCCCAGCCGGGAGAUCCUGUAAAUGAUUUUAUCGAAUUCGUUCAAGUAUGGGGAGGUGUCCUCAGCAACUAUCUGGAAGCGGUCAUAAUGUACGACUCACGAAGGCGGAGUAAGUACAUAUGCUGCGUCUUAUGUCGAAAGUCUGAGAAAGUUUCCAGCAAACACUUUCUCGAAAAAUUGCAGGGUUUACGGUUCAAGUAGGAUACAAGCUUUUCGAAAGAGAAGUGAAUAGUGUGAAGCGCUAACAAAUUAUCACGAGUACCGAAGAAAUGAUAACGAUUCGGCGCCGACAAGGAGGAGAAUAUACCAUGGAAGAUGGAAGCGGAAAGGACAUCACCAUGUCUAAAACUUUUUUUGCCAACUUAUCAAAACCAAGCUUAGCGACUUGAGCAAGAAUCAGGAAUUACAGAGGAUGCUUGCCGAUCUAGGGUAUCAACUGAAUCUGUAAACUUCAAGUGUAGGCCAACCACCUACGCUUCGCGCGUAUAUAGUUAAACUUUUAAAAUACUUGUACUGCGGUAGAAACGAGACGGAACUGUAUAUAUAAUCAAACAGCCCAACGAAUAGUAAAUGAUAAAUGCGCUUCCAACACAAGCAUUCUAAGAAAAACAUCUCGUUUAAUUAAAUGCCAUGUCAUGUCUCGAAAUGCUCAGAGCCACACGCGCGCGGUGCAGGAGAUCCAAAUUGGUUCUCUCCCUACCUUCGCUCCUCCCCUUCCUAAGGUGGACUGAUUAACAAGCAUUCUUUGUUCUUGAGUCAGAUACCUCACGCUAGGAACAAGCCUCAUGGAAUUAAGUUUUUAUAACAAGCCAUUUUGCUCUUCAAUGUUGGGAAAUCUGUACUUAACGCAUUUGGCUAUUUGCUUAAAUGUGUGCAUUCUGUAAAGUUAUCAAAUCAUAGAGCCGCUCUAAAACUGUCUAAACGACAAUUUUGAUUCUAAACUGCGAUGCAAAUAAACGAAGCGCGCAUAUCACGCAACAUUGAGAUCAGUCCACAAAGACUGGCUAAAAAAGAUUCCAGAGUAAAAUGUGGCGCUCACGAAGACUUUUGUCGUUUUAUCCUGUUACACACGGCCACAGCUAGUAAAAUUUAUCAAUCGAGUAAGCCAUUCCAUUUCUCAUCGAAACUGACUGUAAAGAUACUUCACAGAAAUGCUACGAAAUGCUAACUGAACGAAACGAGGCAGUCUAAAUUCGGACAAAAACUAUCAUGAGAACUUAACACUUAAAUCAGAAGAGACAGUGAAUCAGAAUUUCACGAUCUACGUACUACCUUCCGUUUCAAGUACAACAACAGGCCUAGUCGAAACAAUUAGAUGGAACAAGACCGAGCUUAGAGCGCAGAUUAUUAAGCCAUACAUCAGUUUAGAAACAAAUAAGAGGAAACGCACCUUCAAUUGCGUCCAUUUCUCCAUAGCUCUUCUCUACUCAAACUGUAUGUCCCAAACACAAUAUUUACGAACAUUAAAAUCUCUCUGAAACAUUGUUUUUUCUACUGCGCAAUAAACAUCGCAGAACGACUGGAACUUUCCUUGCCUCUUAAAUAGCCCCAGAAAAUUUAAAGUGUGACGUUUACACUUUUAUGAGAAGCUAUUGGUCGCGCACUUUUAUUUUGUUGGGACGCACAUUCCCCAAAGCACCUAGGGCGAAACGUCAUUGGAGGAGGUCAGGCCAUAAUUUGGCAGCUUGUCAAUCAACGUCUUCAUUCACGAACAAUGAUAUGUCUUUCUUAGGCACUCGAUUAUUCUCGUGCUUGUGUGAUCAAUAAACAAAAUUACACAAUGGUGUUUCGAUACAACACACUAGAUGCUAGGAAAGCUGAGCGCUUAAUCGUUACGAAGACUUUCCUUUACAUAGAAACGUAAUGAAUCGAUCAAUGGAAGGAGUUCCAGAGGUUUCCUCGUACUUUUCUCCAUAAAGCAAAAUGGGCAACACAUUCGUAAGAAGAAAGACAGAAUCUACGAAACAGACACAUCUACCUCACGUCUUUUGGAAGAAUCGCGACAGAAAACGAAUUCACACGUAUUUCAUUUGCUUAUUUGUGUCAUACUUGGAAUGUCUUAAUGCCUUGAUGUUAUAGCGUUCCUUUUCUUUAGCAGUGCAUAACAACGUGGUAAGACACAACAAGCACAAAUAAACAAUCCAGAUCAAAAAAAAUAGUGACUCAACGUUCAGGUUCGAGGAUAAAGCUCCUCAAGAACCAUCUAAAUUCAAACUAUUUUAAUAUAAUUAAAAUUACAAUCAUAACAACUUAUCAAAUAUUAUGAUAGAUUCCCCAGUAAGACACUUGAAGCUUAAGUCCUGACCAGGCUCCUUGGACAAGACACCCUACCCUCUCCUCCCUGGUGUAUAAAUGGGAACUAGCAAAUUUUGCCGUUUGGCGUUUGAUCUAGCCAUCUAACAGAAUGCUAGAAGCUGUACUAGUGUGCUGUUUACCAGCAUCCAUCUCAGAGGAAGAACUCAUAUUGCUAGAGGUUUUAUGGUAUGAAAAAACAUACUUUAAAACCACACACAAGUUUAGCUCGUUUUGUGAGUAAUUUGCCCCAAAGACUGUUGGCUUCAUUCGAUAUUCUCCAACAAAUUGGCGUAAGUUAUACUUGUGAACGUAUAGCCAUUAAAUUGGCUACAUUCAACAUAUAAGGGUUGUUUUUCCCUGACAUUAGGCUGACUAAAAGAUGGCCACAGAUCCAUUUUGAUCACUCGGUGAUCGAGUCCUCUAGAACAUCCUAAUGAAACAGUACAACCCCGAGCAGCCAUAACGAUUGCGACUAAAUCAUGUCUGUCUGCUUCAUGUUCUCUAGAAGUUCAAAGCCAGCAGUUCAGCAAGGUAGAUACGUCAAACUGUACAAACUCGACAAAGUUUGUCCUCUUGUAAAAUGUCAAAUAAACACCACACGAAAAUAUGGCGACAAAGAUUCCAUUAGAAUAUUCACACACUAUUGUUUUAUCCAAAGUUCAAAGCUAACGCCACCUUGUACAAGAUAGUAAACAGUACGACCUGAAAAAACUGCUUUCAAUAGCUUUCAUUAGAAUUUAAUCCAGACUUGUUAAACCACCUUGUUCAGCAUAAUAAACAGAACCAUAAGAAAGUAUUCUUCGAUAGCUUUCACAUGAACGGUCACACAACGAAGUUUCGUCCACAGACUGAAAAGUUAGAACCACCUUGUACAGCAUAAUAAACAGUACCACGUGAAAUUACUGCUGAAUAGCUUUAUUUUAAUGGUCACACACUGGGGUUUCACCCAGAUUCAAAAGUUCGAGCCGCCUUUAACGGUACCACAUGAAAACAUAGUUCCAAAGCUUUCAUGUGAAUGGUCACACAACAGUGCUUUCUCUACAUCAUAAAAAGUUAGAACCACCUUGUGUCGCAUAAUGAACAGUAUCACAAGAAAGCACUACUCAAUAGUUUUCGUUUGAAUAGUCACACAACGGAGUUUCAUCCACAGAAUGAAAAGUUCGAACCACCUUGUGUCGCAUAAUGAACAGUAUUACAAGAACGCACUACUCAAUAGUUUUCAUUUGAAUAGUCACACAAAGGUGCUUUAUCCACAUCAUGAAAAUUUAGAACCACCUUGUGUCGCAUAAUGAACAGUAUCACAAGAAAGCACUACUCAAUAGCUUUCAUUUGAAUAGUCACACAAGGGAGUUUUAUCCACAGAAUGAAAAAUUCGAACCACCUUGUACAGCAUAAUAAAGGGUACCACAAGAAAGGACUGCUCAAUAGCUUUCAUUUGAAUGGUCACACAAUAGGAUCAGGCAGUUUUAGCCGCAUCGUAUGACUCGAGGUUUUACGUCAAAACCGGGGAAAGGGUUAAUAGGCCUCCAAGAGCAUACAAAACAAACAGAACUAUUAUUUUCUGGGGAAACAACCAGGGAAAAAACCCAACAACCCUGACAAAAGACAAAGAGUUUGUUAUCGCUCUUCUUUGAAAUGAAGAAGCAAUAUCUAGGGAUUCCCCCAUGACAAGGGGCUGUCACGAUUGAUUGAGUGAAGGCAAAACAGCAGUUAGCCAAUAGAAUGGUUGUAAUAGCCACAGCUAAAACAUAGAUGGAAGUGCUUGCAGAAGUAAAAUUCACCGCAUACUUCUCCCGAAACGUAACGAACACACCGGUAAACAGAACAAGGCGUCACAAGGUUGCUCAGUUGAAAUAAGCAGUCCAACUUGGUGAGUUAGCUUUUUCAAGUUGAAGAGAACAUGGAAAAUGCGACUGGUGACAAAGAAGCGGAGCUUUCAGGGAGCAGUGAUGGACCAAAAUCGUCACCCUAUCAACGGAUCGUUAUCGCCUGCCCUGACAAUCACAUCAUCGUUGUAAAGCGAUUCACGAGCGGAGAAGUCAAAGUUAAAGAGGGGAGACUUGUUGCUAUUGAGAACAAGAAGGGACGCUAGCAAGAGGGUUUUCCCAUUAAAGCGCCACGUGAGGACAAUGGUCAAAGCAAACGAAGAAAUGAAGAAAAGGUCACCAGUUUGAGCGAGGCGGACAAUUUCUGUAGCAUGUUUUUGUAGAUUUUGUUUGUAUAAUAGAGUGUAAAUUGCACCAAUAUUAAAAAGACAUUGCUUUCCUUCAUGUUGUGAAAUUAAGCUUAUAAUCGUAAAUCGUAUUGAGUUUGUUGUCCUAAACGCGUCAAGAGUAUUUGUGUAGUUUGUGGAUCACGUCUUGCAGAUUUGCUUAGCUUGCUAUCAAUAUCUUUAACAGAUAAUUCUUUGCCCUGAUAAUGUAGAACAAGAACGUUUGAAAUACAUACCCUUUUAGCUCA